rnacentral:tRNA from 1 species
GGGGAUGUAGCUCAGUAGUAGAGCACUUGCCUGACGUGCAUGAGACCUUGGGUUCAAUCAACCCCG